rnacentral:misc_RNA from 1 species
UCCGGUUUGGCACCGGCAGUCUCCCAUGAGUCCCCGACAUAACUCGCUGGCAACAUGGGACAGGGGUUGCGCUCGUUGCGCCACUUAAGGCAACACCUCACGGCACGAGCUGACGACAGCCAUGCACCACCUGUACACCUGCCCCGAAGGGCUGCCGUAUUUCUACGACAUUCAGGUGCAUGUCAAGCCCUGGUAAGGUUCUUCGCGUUGCGUCGAAUUGAACCACAUGCUCCACCGCUUGUGCGGGCCCCCGUCAAUUCCUUCGAGUUUUAACCUUGCGGCCGUAAUCCCCAGGCGGGGAACUCAAUGCGUUAGCUGCGGCACGGGAGGGGUCAAUACCCCCCACACCUAGUUCCCAUCGUUUACGGCGUGGACUAC